rnacentral:rRNA from 1 species
GAUGAACGCUGGCGGCGUGCUUAACACAUGCAAGUCGAACGAAGCAUUUAAGACAGAUUACUUCGGUUUGAAGUCUUUUAUGACUGAGUGGCGGACGGGUGAGUAACGCGUGGGUAACCUGCCUCAUACAGGGGGAUAGCAGCUGGAAACGGCUGGUAAUACCGCAUAAGCGCACAGUACCACAUGGUACAGUGUGAAAAACUCCGGUGGUAUGAGAUGGACCCGCGUCUGAUUAGCUUGUUGGCGGGGUAACGGCCCACCAAGGCGACGAUCAGUAGCCGACCGGAGAGGGUGACCGGCCACAUUGGGAAUGAGACACGGCCCAGACUCCUACGGGAGGCAGCAGUGGGGAAUAUUGCACAAUGGAGGAAACUCUGAUGCAGCGACGCCGCGUGAGUGAAGAAGUAGUUCGCUAUGUAAAGCUCUAUCAGCAGGGAAGAUAGUGACGGUACCUGACUAAGAAGCUCCGGCUAAAUACGUG